AUACGGAGGAUGCGAGCGUUAUCCGGAUUUAUUGGGUUUAAAGGGAGCGUAGGUGGGAUAUUAAGUCAGCGGUUAAAUCGUGGGGCUCAACCCCAUUCUGCCGUUGAUACUGGGUGGCUUGAUUGCGGUCGAGGUUGGCGGAAUUCGUUGUGUAGCGGUGAAAUGCAUAGAUAUGACGAAGAACACCGAUUGCGUAGGCAGCUGACCAGACCGCAAAUGACGCUCAUGCACGAAAGUGCGGGGAUCGAACAGGAUUAGAUACCCUGGUAGUCCGCACAGUAAACGAUGAAUACUUGUUUUCGGCGAUAUAAUGUCGGAGGCAAAGCGAAAGCGAUAAGUAUUCCACCUGGGGAGUACGCCGGCAACGGUGAAACUUAAAGGAAUUGACGGGG
rnacentral:rRNA from 1 species